rnacentral:rRNA from 1 species
UACGUAGGGUCCAAGCGUUAUCCGGAAUCACUGGGCGUAAAGCGUGCGUAGGUGGUUUGUUAAGUGAGAUGUUAAACCGUGUGGCUCAACCAUACGUUGUAUCUCAUACUGGCAAACUAGAGGACGGCAGAGGCAAGUGGAAUUUGUAGUGUAGCAGUGAAAUGCGUAGAUAUUACAAGGAACACCAAUGGCGAAGGCAGCUUGCUGGGCCACUCCUGACACUGAGGUACGAAAGCGUGGGGAGCGAACAGG